GACAGAGGGUGCAAACGUUGUUCGGAAUUACUGGGCGUAAAGGGCGCGUAGGCGGCCAACUAAGUCGGACGUGAAAUCCCUCAGCUUAACUGGGGAACUGCGUCCGAUACUGGAUGGCUUGAGUUUGGGAGAGGGAUGCGGAAUUCCAGGUGUAGCGGUGAAAUGCGUAGAUAUCUGGAGGAACACCGGUGGCGAAGGCGGCAUCCUGGACCAACACUGACACUGAGGAGCGAAAGCCAGGGGAGCAAACGGG
rnacentral:rRNA from 1 species